UUAAGAAGGUUCAAUGAUCAAGAUGUACUUUGUGAAGAUCAAAAUAUUCUUUAUAAGAUCGAAUAUCAACUAAUGUCAUUGAUGAUAACACAUAAGGUCAAACGACAUUUGGUGAAUUCUUUGAUGACAAUUGUCCAACAACGUCUAAUGAAGUCUUUGGAGACAAUUGUCCAAAAACCUCUAAUAAAAGAAGUUAAUCACAAGUAUCGUCAGUUAGAAGAUUCAAUUUCUAGAUGAAGUGUUAAAUCAAUGAUAAAUAAAGUA
rnacentral:lncRNA from 1 species